UGGUUAGGACCAUCAGCGACCUCAGGCAAGUACUCUUUGGAGGCAACAGCCAGAUGGACGACUACCCUUUGUGGGUGAGCCCUGGUGCCUGCUGAAGGCUGAUAUAAUAGCUUCUCCUGCCUGUCCCUUCCUCCACCAUCCAUAUGAACACAUGCUCCCCCUACCCUUGAACUCUGGGUUGGAAGAACUCCUACUCCCCCCAGGCUGGAACCUCUCCAAACAGAACAGUGUGUACUCUAUGGAGAGGAAGCUGGGAGGAAGGUGCAUGAGAAAUUCAAGGUUAGGUGAGAAAGAGCAAAGGAAAGAUACAGAAAGGGAAGAACAAAGGACUGAAAGAGGAAUCGAUGGAAGAGGGAAGCGGAGGAAACAAGAAACGCCUCUUUUCAGAGGUCCGGUCUGAUGACAAAGCUGUCCUUGAUGACAACAUGGAGAUCUCAUGCAGCUCCUUUGGACACCAGUCUUGACAGGCCCCAUGAAUGAAGAAGGACUGCGACACCAUGCCCAGACUCAGCUCCCUUUGAAAUAGGAGGACAAGGCCUGUGCAGUUACCUCUCAGCUGUCGAAGAAAGCGGUGCCGAGAGAGAGGCGAGGAAAUGGACAGAAAUGGGUAGUUAUUUCAUGGAGUGCCAUAAGCAUGCAGGAUGCUUUACAGAACACAUGCACAGACAGGGUACAUGCCUUGAACAGCUUAUGGUCUAACUCAAAUAAAUACCAUACUCAGGACAACUUUCCCAGUAUGUCACUGGGGCUUCAGGAAAGAAUGGAAGAGACUCGCAGGAGAGGGAAUCAUACAACAUGUUCAACCUGCUCCCAUCCUGCAACAGCUGGGAUCUUUGUCAGAAACUUAAUGCCUAGAACUUUAGACCACCGCCACUCAAUUCUCUGAAAGCAUCAGCCCCUUUUCCUGCCAACCCAUCAUCUCUCCAACCCUCUGGUACUUGCAAAACACACAGAAAUGCUACACGCUGCUUCUCAAUGAAGAAGAGGUCAAACAGCCCAUUUAAAUCUUAGAUGUACCCUGUUGUUAUGGACACAAAGUUCUGAACAUGGCUGUUGUCAGAGCAACAGGUAUGUCCUGCUUGGUUUUACCAUCAUAUCAGUACACUCACGGCAUGUACUGUAGGGCAGAUAGCAUUUUCUCUGGACUGAUUUAUUAGGGGACUGAUAGAGGCCACCGUCAUGUCUCACACACAAAGCCACUCUCCCCUUCCCUGUGCAAAUGGAGCACACAGGCCUCAGUGACUUUGAGCUGGGACCAUGAAUUCUCCAAGGAGGAUUUGAGACAUGAGAAAAGAUGAAUCACCCAAUUCUCUCCAACAAUAAACCCCCUGCAGAAUGCCACCAACGCUGGGACCAGAGGAGUAUCAAAAGGGCCAGUGUCACAUUUAACCUCCCAGCUGUGUCUCAAAGAAUCCCCAACCUGGCUGCCUGAUUUCCAGAAUUCGGGGCAUUCUCUAGCAGAGACAAGGGAACUCCAGGAUUCAAAAGCUCCAUUGUUUAUCCUAGCACAGGGCUUAGAAAUGGAUACGG